UUCCGGUUGAUCCUGCCGGACCUGACUGCUAUCGGAUUGAUACUAAGCCAUGCGAGUCAUUGCAGCAAUGCAAGGCAGACGGCUCAGUAACGCGUAGUCAACCUAACCUAUGGACGGGAAUAACCUCGGGAAACUGAGAAUAAUGCCCGAUAGAACACUAUACCUGGAAUGGUUUGUGUUCCAAAUGAUUUAUCGCCGUAGGAUGGGACUGCGGCCUAUCAGUUUGUUGGUGAGGUAAUGGCCCACCAAGACUAUUACAGGUACGGGCUCUGAGAGGAGUAGCCCGGAGAUGGGUACUGAGACACGGACCCAGGCCCUAUGGGGCGCAGCAGGCGAGAAAACUUUGCAAUGUGCGAAAGCACGACAAGGUUAAUCCGAGUGGUUUCUGCUAAAGGAACCUUUUGUUAGUCCUAGAAACACUAACGAAUAAGGGGUGGGCAAGUUCUGGUGUCAGCCGCCGCGGUAAAACCAGCACCUCAAGUGGUCAGGAUGAUUAUUGGGCCUAAAGCAUCCGUAGCCGGCUCUGUAAGUUUUCGGUUAAAUCUGUACGCUCAACGUACAGGCUGCCGGGAAUACUGCAGAGCUAGGGAGUGGGAGAGGUAGACGGUACUCGGGAGGAAGGGGUAAAAUCCUUUGAUCUAUUGAUGACCACCUGUGGCGAAGGCGGUCUACCAGAACACGUUCGACGGUGAGGGAUGAAAGCUGGGGGAGCAAACCGGAUUAGAUACCCGGGUAGUCCCAGCUGUAAACGAUGCAAACUCGGUGAUGCCCUGGCUUGUGGCCAGUGCAGUGCCGCAGGGAAGCCGUUAAGUUUGCCGCCUGGGAAGUACGUACGCAAGUAUGAAACUUAAAGGA
rnacentral:rRNA from 1 species